AAGACAAAACCGAUUAUUAAAUAGCAGGGCUGCGGGCAAUGCCGUCAUUGAUGAAGUCGAUGAAAGCAUUGAAAAGGCACCAUCUUUAAGUAAUCAUCUCUUAUCUGCAAAGCCAAGAAGAACUCAGCAGAUUGUCGAUCACUCCUCUCCAAUCUUUUCUUGGAUUGUAGAAAAAUGACCAAAAGCAGCUUCAAGCAAGCACAUGAGUUUGAGAAGAGACGUGCUGAGGCCGCAAGGAUUAGAGAGAAAUAUUCAGACAGAAUUCCUGUGAUUGUGGAAAAGGCAGAGAGAAGUGAUAUUCCCAACAUUGACAGGAAAAAAUACCUGGUUCCAGCUGAUUUGACUGUGGGUCAGUUUGUCUAUGUCAUCCGUAAGAGAAUUAAACUGAGUGCAGAAAAGGCAAUCUUCAUAUUCGUAGACAAUGUCCUCCCAGCUACAGGAGCAAUAAUGUCUACCAUAUAUGAUGAAAAGAAGGAUGCAGAUGGAUUUCUGUAUGUUACAUACAGUGGCGAGAACACAUUUGGAUAGUGGAUGAUCAGAUGUUCUCAUAUUUCUUUGUCGUUAUAUUCCUCGUUCAUCGUUAUAUUACGCAUCUCCGUUAACGCAUUAUCUUCUACAAUACCAGCACUCUGCUUAAUAUAUAUAACUGCACUCUGUUUAUCUAUCAUGGUCUGUGGAGAAUGGAACAAUACAAGUAAAACAUUGUCGAAUGCAAAUGUAUAAUCAUGUCCUGUGCACAUAAUAUGGCUAGUCAUAUGAACUUGUAACUCAAAUAGUUAAGAGCAUUCUCUUAUAUCGUAUUAAAUACUUUGGUGUUUUUGUCGA